AAACACAAGCAUAUACUAGUAUAACAGAAAAAGAAACAAAGAAAGCCAACACAACCAACAACUUGCGACCGUCUUAUUGGAAGGAGGAAGUGCAUGAGUUUAGGGGAAAAUAAUAGUAGUCAGGAAAUGAUUAAGCAGCCCAACAAAUUCGAAAAGCGCACCCAAGUCGAUCGACAUGUCAGUUCUCUCGGUACAGCUAGCGCAGCAACACAAAUUCGAGCGGAUAGAGACUUUAUUCACCCAGACCCAGUUUGCGACAGCGAACACGACGGCAUCAGAGGCCGGCGCCGGCUAGCUAUAUAUUGCUGCCCUGUACAAAGGGGGUACCUUUAGGAGGUCCAGCUCGUAG
rnacentral:lncRNA from 1 species